UACGAAGGGGGCUAGCGUUGUUCGGAAUCACUGGGCGUAAAGGGCGCGUAGGCGGCUUUAUAAGUCGGGGGUGAAAGCCUGUGGCUCAACCACAGAAUUGCCUUCGAUACUGGAGAGCUUGAGUCCGGGAGAGGUGAGUGGAACUGCGAGUGUAGAGGUGAAAUUCGUAGAUAUUCGCAAGAACACCAGUGGCGAAGGCGGCUCACUGGCCCGGUACUGACGCUGAGGUGCGAAAGCGUGGGGAGCAAACAGGG
rnacentral:rRNA from 1 species